AUGAGAUGCAUAACAAGAACAAAAUGCAAAACAACAGACAAAAACCCAACCACGGAGGAAAUAACAAAUCACAUAGCAGGAAAUGGCAAGAGUCGGAGUUACGAAUAUGGAAAGUUGUAUCUGCGGCAUUACAUUUGCCUUGAACAACAUAAAAAAGGGCAAUUUCCUGAUUAUGUGGCAAUAAAAGCUAGAGUUUUGCAAGAAGAUGAAUCUUUGCCAAUUGAUAAAAUUGGCAAGCAAAAAUAUGGUUUUACAACAAAGCAUAUGCAUUCACCUAGUACUACAUCAUAUUAUACACCCCCUACACAAUUGCAAAAUUUCGGCAACACUCGUGUGUCAUUGCUGAAAGAAUCUAAAAGCAUUGGGGGGUAA
rnacentral:rRNA from 1 species